rnacentral:rRNA from 1 species
UACGUAGGGUGCAAGCGUUAAUCGGAAUUACUGGGCGUAAAGCGUGCGCAGGCGGUUGUGCAAGACAGAUGUGAAAUCCCCGGGCUCAACCUGGGAAUUGCAUUUGUGACUGCACGGCUAGAGUGUGUCAGAGGGGGGUAGAAUUCCACGUGUAGCAGUGAAAUGCGUAGAGAUGUGGAGGAAUACCGAUGGCGAAGGCAGCCCCCUGGGCUAGCACUGACGCUCAGGCACGAAAGCGUGGGGAGCAAACAGG